rnacentral:rRNA from 1 species
GACGAACGCUGGCGGCGUGCUUAACACAUGCAAGUCGAACGGAAAGGCCCUGCUUGCAGGGUGCUCGAGUGGCGAACGGGUGAGUAACACGUGGGUGAUCUGCCCUGCACUUCGGGAUAAGCCUGGGAAACUGGGUCUAAUACCGGAUAGGAGCCAUUUUUAGUGUGAUGGUUGGAAAGUUUUUUCGGUGUAGGAUGAGCUCGCGGCCUAUCAGCUUGUUGGUGGGGUAAUGGCCUACCAAGGCGGCGACGGGUAGCCGGCCUGAGAGGGUGGACGGCCACAUUGGGACUGAGAUACGGCCCAG